UUUUUUGUAUUUUAUGUUGUGUUUAGUUUUUCCAGGCAGGAAGUAACUUCAGAUGGGGACACACAGGACAGUUGUCUGCGCUCUCUGUUUUCCUGAACUUUCUUGGCUCUCUGGGACGCAUCUUCAGUUCCCUGCAGGACACAGGCCUUUCUCUCUUAACUCAGAUGUAUGUUGUGGCCUGCUGUUGCAGUGGGGUAAUACUAGCACAGGUCCUGAUGUACUGGAAUAAAUGCGUGACAAACAGCCAGAAAGAAGGACAAGAGGAGAAAGACAAGGCUGAAUAAAAGAGAUACCGUUUUGCUUUCUUGGAUUUACACUUCAGAAUGUGUGUGCACUCCCGGAAAAGAGGUUGUGAAUCAUUAAAUGUCUCAUGAAAUGUUUGUAAUUUCACUUUUCAGUCCUUAGAUGUGAUUUCAUUUCUUUUUAUUUAUUUAUGCCAUACA